GGGGUCAAUAAAGAAAGGACAGUAGAUCUCCCAUCGUCUACCCUUGAACAGAGCCCCGCAAGGCUUUUCUUGGCCUGAUACAUCUCUAUUCUUUUCCCUGGGGGCUGUGACUCUGGAGACCAUCUGUUACUGCAGGUACCUUGUCAGUCACACUGAAGGAGAGGUCAGCUGCCAAGAAGCUCUUGAUCACAGGGUCUUCUGCAAAGAAAGGAAGAGUGAGUUUCAUCCCUUCAACGUGAUCCACAGUCCAUAUGCUCCUUUUGCGUGUCCUCCUGCAGAACUGCAGCUCUGAAGCAGCUUCAGUGGUUGUGCUGGAGGCAGGAAGUCUGCUCUCCUGGGAAGCUGCAGGAACAAAAGCCCAUGACAAGAAAGUUGAGGGUUGUGAAGGAUGCAUACCUGCCUUGACGUCCACUGAGUUCUUCGUCUUCUGGACCCUCUUUCUCUUGCGUCUCU